rnacentral:rRNA from 1 species
UAGGGAAUCUUCCACAAUGGACGCAAGUCUGAUGGAGCAACGCCGCGUGAGUGAAGAAGGUUUUCGGACCGUAAAGCUCUGUUGUUGGUGAAGAAGGAUAGAGGUAGUAACUGGCCUUUAUUUGACGGUAAUCAACCAGAAAGUCACGGCUAACUACGUGCCAGCAGCCGCGGUAAUACGUAGGUGGCAAGCGUUGUCCGGAUUUAUUGGGCGUAAAGCGAGCGCAGGCGGAAGAAUAAGUCUGAUGUGAAAGCCCUCGGCUUAACCGAGGAAUUGCAUCGGAAACUGUUUUCUUGAGUGCAGAAGAGGAGAGUAGAACUCCAUGUGUAGCGGUGGAAUGCGUAGAUAUAUGGAAGAAUACCAGUGGCGAAGGCGGCUCUCUGGUCUGCAACUGACGCUGAGGCUCGAAAAGCAUGGGUAGCGAACAGGAUUAGAUACCCUGGUAGUCCAUGCCGUAAAACGAUGAGUGCUAAGUGUUGGGAGGCUUCCGCCUCUCAGUGCUGCAGCUAACGCAUUAAGCACUCCGCCUGGGGGAGUACGACCGCA